UUAGAGUUUGAUCAUGGCUCAGGAUGAACGCUGGCGGCAUGCCUAAUACAUGCAAGUCGAACGAACAAGCCCAUGAAGUAUCUAGCUUGCUAGAGACGGAUUGGAUUUUCUUGUUAGUGGCGAACGGGUGAGUAACACGUAGAUAACCUGCCCAUAAGCGAGGGAUAACUAUUGGAAACGAUAGCUAAUACCUCAUAGGAAUAUUUAACACAUGUUAUUUAUUUUAAAGAAGCAACUGUUUCACUUAUGGAUGGAUCUGCGGUGCAUUAGCUAGUUGGUGAGAUAAAAGCUCACCAAGGCGACGAUGCAUAGCCGGACUGAGAGGUCGAUCGGCCACAUUGGGACUGAGACACGGCCCAGACACCUACGGGUGGCAGCAGUAGGGAAUUUUUCGCAAUGGGGGCAACCCUGACGGAGCAAUGCCGCGUGGAGGAUGAAGGUUUUCGAAUCGUAAACUCCUGUUGUAAGGGAAGAACGGCAGAAGUAGUGGAAUGGCUUCUGUGUGACGGUACCUUACCAGAAAGCCUCGGCUAACUACGUGCCAGCAGCCGCGGUAAUACGUAGGAGGCAAGCGUUAUCCGGAAUUAUUGGGCGUAAAGAGCAUGUAGGCGGUUUAUUAAGUCUGGUGUGAAAGCUAGUGGCCUAACCACUAAAUUGCAUUGGAAACUGGUAAACUAGAAUACUGGAGAGGUAAGUGGAACUCCAUGUGUAGCGGUGGAAUGCGCAGAUAUAUGGAAGAACACCAACGGCGAAGGCAGCUUACUGGACAGAGAUUGACGCUGAGAUGCGAAAGCGUGGGGAGYAAACAGGAUUAGAUACCCUGGUAGUCC
rnacentral:rRNA from 1 species